AUCGAACGCUGGCGGCAUGCCUUACACAUGCAAGUCGAACGGCAGCACGGGAGCUUGCUCCUGGUGGCGAGUGGCGAACGGGUGAGUAAUAUAUCGGAACGUACCCUAGAGUGGGGAUAACGCAGCGAAAGUUGCGCUAAUACCGCAUACGAUCUACGGAUGAAAGUGGGGGAUCGCAAGACCUCAUGCUCAUGGAGCGGCCGAUAUCUGAUUAGGUAGUUGGUGAGGUAAAGGCUCACCAAGCCAACGAUCUGUAGCUGGUCUGAGAGGACGACCAGCCACACUGGAACUGAGACACGGUCCAGACUCCUACGGGAGGCA
rnacentral:rRNA from 1 species